UUGCUUUGGCAGCAUAUAUACCAAAAUUGGAACUAUACAGAGAAAAUUAGCAUGACCCCUGCACAAGGAUAACAUGCAGAUUUGUGAAGUGUUCCAUAUUUUU